GAUGAACGCUAGCUACAGGCUUAACACAUGCAAGUCGCGGGGCAGCAUGGGGGUUGCUUGCACUCCCCGAUGGCGACCGGCGCACGGGUGAGUAACGCGUAUCCAACCUGCCCUUCACCACGGGAUAACCCGGCGAAAGUCGGACUAAUACCGUAUGUUGUCCAUUGACGGCAUCCGAUUUGGACGAAAGGCUUGGCGGUGAGGGAUGGGGAUGCGUCCGAUUAGCCAGACGGCGGGGUAACGGCCCACCGUGGCUACGAUCGGUAGGGGUUCUGAGAGGAAGGUCCCCCACACUGGAACUGAGACACGGUCCAGACUCCUACGGGAGGCAGCAGUGAGGAAUAUUGGUCAAUGGGCGUAAGCCUGAACCAGCCAAGUAGCGUGCAGGAUGACGGCCCUAUGGGUUGUAAACUGCUUUUAUGCGGGGAUAAAGUGGCCCACGUGUGGGCUUUUGCAGGUACCGCAUGAAUAAGGACCGGCUAAUUCCGUG
rnacentral:rRNA from 1 species